GGGGGGAUUACAUGGCAGUCGACGAGAACCAUUGGAUCGAGGAUUCGUCCAAGUGAAGGUGGGGAAAGUGGCGGACGGGUGAGUAACGCGUGAGCAAUCUGCCUUGGAGUGGGGAAUAACGGCUGGAAACAGCCGCUAAUACCGCAUGAUACAGCUGGGAGGCAUCUCCCUGGCUGUCAAAGAUUUAUCGCUCUGAGAUGAGCUCGCGUCUGAUUAGCUAGUUGGCGGGGUAACGGCCCACCAAGGCGACGAUCAGUAGCCGGACUGAGAGGUUGGCCGGCCACAUUGGGACUGAGACACGGCCCAGACUCCUACGGGAGGCAGCAGUGGGGAAUAUUGGGCAAUGGGCGCAAGCCUGACCCAGCAACGCCGCGUGAAGGAAGAAGGCUUUCGGGUUGUAAACUUCUUUUGUCAGGGGCGAAGCAAGUGACGGUACCUGACGAAUAAGCCACGGCUAACUACGUGCCAGCAGCCGCGGUAAUACGUAGGUGGCGAGCGUUAUCCGGAAUGAUUGGGCGUAAAGGGUGCGCAGGCGGUCCUGCAAGUCUGGAGUGAAACGCAUGAGCUCAACUCAUGCAUGGCUUUGGAAACUGGAGGACUGGAGAGCAGGAGAGGGCGGUGGAACUCCAUGUGUAGCGGUAAAAUGCGUAGAUAUAUGGAAGAACACCAGUGGCGAAGGCGGCCGCCUGGCCUGUUGCUGACGCUGAGGCACGAAAGCGUGGGGAGCAAAUAGGAUUAGAUAACCUAGUA
rnacentral:rRNA from 1 species